CUCAUUCUCCUUUCCCUCCUCUCCAUCUCCCUAUUGCAUUGUGUCUGACUGAUUUUCAGAGCACCUUCGCUGUUUCCCCCUUCUCAUUCCCUUUCUGUAAAAUAUCUAGACAGGAAGGAGGUGGCUGCAGAGGCUGAACAAACAAUCUCACAUUCUGCCUGCAAUGUCAUCGUUUCUUUCCCCCAUUUUAGGGGGCUGAAGUUGCCCAGGAAGGGGAUGCAGAGGAGCUGGAAAGGAAGGGGGGAGCUCUCCAGAGGCAGCUGCGGUCAGGGGCAGGGACUGCCGCCAGAUGUGCCUGCCUCUCUGGGCUUUGAUUCGAAAGGGGCAGGAGGAGGAAGUAUUGGGAGACAAAAGCCCCGGUUUAAAUGAUCAUUUUCUUUAUUUAACAUGGCAGCAGACACUCUCUGCGUAGGAUCAUCAUGCCGAGCAUAAACUGGACUUUCCCACUUGCCUGGCAGGAGUGAGACAGAUCACUGUCUGCUAAAUGAGCAUCUGAGAUGUCCUUGGCGUGUGCACCCUUGUGGAAUCCGGUUCAUCUCCAAUCUGUCAAGAAGCAUCAGAGGUGGUUUUGACUCCUCAUGUCCUGAGCCUGUGCACAAAAUGUACCUUGUGUGGAAGAAAAUGAGAUCCCGAGUGAAGUCUACAAUGUCAUUGACUCUGAAGAAGGACUCAGAGACCCAUUGGUGUUUAAUGACCCUUACUGGCCUAUGCAAUGGGAACUGGUAUGAUCUUCAGAAAUAGAUGGUUCUUUGGCGAUGUUAA